AUUGAACGCUGGCGGCAGGCCUAACACAUGCAAGUCGAGCGGAUGAAGGGAGCUUGCUCCUGGAUUCAGCGGCGGACGGGUGAGUAAUGCCUAGGAAUCUGCCUGGCAGUGGGGGAUAACGUCCGGAAACGGGCGCUAAUACCGCAUACGUCCUGAGGGAGAAAGUGUGGGAUCUUCGGACCUUACGCUAUCAGAUGAGCCGAGGUCGGAUUAGCUAGUUGGUGGGGUAAAGGCCUACCAAGGCGACGAUCCGUAACUGGUCUGAGAGGAUGAUCAGUCACACUGGAACUGAGACACGGUCCAGACUCCUACGGGAGGCAGCAGUGGGGAAUAUUGGACAAUGGGCGAAAGCCUGAUCCAGCCAUGCCGCGUGUGUGAAGAAGGUCUUCGGAUUGUAAAGCACUUUAAGUUGGGAGGAAGGGCAGUAAGUUAAUACCUUGCUGUUUUGACGUUACCAACAGAAUAAGCACCGGCUAACUUCGUG
rnacentral:rRNA from 1 species